GAUCGUGCCAGCAGCCGCGGUAAUACGGAGGGUGCAAGCGUUAAUCGGAAUUACUGGGCGUAAAGCGCAUGCAGGCGGUCUGUUAAGUCAGAUGUGAAAGCCCCGGGCUUAACCUGGGAGUGGCAUUUGAGACUGGCAGGCUAGGGUCUUGUAGAGGGGGGUAGAAUUCCAGGUGUAGCGGUGAAAUGCGUAGAGAUCUGGAGGAAUAUCGGUGGCGAAGGCGGCCCCCUGGACAAAGACUGACGCUCAGAUGCGAAAGCGUGGGUAGCAAACAGGAUUAAUACCCUGGUAGUCCACGCCGUAAACGAUGUCUACUUGAAGGUUGGGAUCUUGAAUUCUGGCCUUCGGAGCUAACGCGUUAAGUAGACCGCCUGGGGAGUACGGUCGCAAGAUUAAAACUCAAAUGAAUUGACGGGGGCCCGCACAAGCGGUGGAGCAUGUGGUUUAAUUCGAUGCAACGCGAAGAACCUUACCUACUCUUGACAUCCAGAGAAGCCAGCAGAGAUGCAGGUGUGCCUUCGGGAACUCUGAGACAGGUGCUGCAUGGCUGUCGUCAGCUCGUGUUGCGAAAUGUUGGGUUAAGUCCCGCAACGAGCGCAACCCUUAUCCUUGUUUGCCAGCACGUAAUGGUGGGAACUCCAGGGAGACUGCCGGUGAUAAACCGG
rnacentral:rRNA from 1 species